GACGAACCGUCCAAACGUUGUUCGGAAUCACUGGGCUUAAAGGGCGCGUAGGCGGCUGCUCAAGUCGGCGGUGAAAUCUUUCGGCUCAACCGGAAAAGUGCCGCCGAUACUGGGGAUCUCGAGGGAGGUAGGGGUCGAGGGAACUUCCGGUGGAGCGGUGAAAUGUGUAGAUAUCGGAAGGAACGCCGGUGGCGAAAGCGCUCGACUGGACCUCUGCUGACGCUGAGGCGCGAAAGCCAGGGGAGCAAACGGG
rnacentral:rRNA from 1 species